UGAAUACAGGAUUCAAGGCUCAGAUUAAUU
rnacentral:piRNA from 1 species